GUCUGAGGUAAGACAUCCAAGAAGGAACUGGCCCAUGGAGAAAAGGCAAACACUUUUUGGCCUUUGCUUCCUGAUUCAUAAAUGAAUAAUGAACUAGAAGAAUUCCAUGGGAACUGGAACGACCUCCAGGAACUGAUGCAGAGUGAGAGGAGCAGAACCAGGAGAACAUUGUACAGAGAGAUGGAUACACUGUGGUACAAUGUAAUGGACUUCUCUACUAGCAGCAAUGAAAUGUCCCAAAACAAUUCUGAGGGACUUACAAGAAAGAACACUAUUCACAUCCAGAGAAAGAACUGUGGGAAUAGAAACACAGAAGAAAAACAACUGCUUGAUCACAUGGUUCAAUGGGAAUAUGCCUGCAGAUGUAGACUCUAAAUUAAUCACCCUAGUGCAAAUAUCAAUAAUAUGGCAAUAGGUCAUGAUCAAUGACACAUGUAAAACCCAGUGGAAUUGUGUGUUGGCUACGGGAGUGGGUGAGGGAAGGGGAGGGAAAGAACAUGAAUAUUGUAACCAUGAAAAAAUAUUCUAAAUUAAUUAAUUAAAUAAAAUUUUCCAAAUUUAAA
rnacentral:lncRNA from 1 species